AUUGAACGCUGGCGGCAUGCCUUACACAUGCAAGUCGAACGGCAGCACGGGAGCAAUCCUGGUGGCGAGUGGCGAACGGGUGAGUAAUAUAUCGGAACGUGCCCAGUCGUGGGGGAUAACGUAGCGAAAGCUACGCUAAUACCGCAUACGAUCUAUGGAUGAAAGCGGGGGAUCGCAAGACCUCGCGCGAUUGGAGCGGCCGAUAUCAGAUUAGGUAGUUGGUGGGGUAAAAGCCUACCAAGCCUUCGAUCUGUAGCUGGUCUGAGAGGACGACCAGCCACACUGGAACUGAGACACGGUCCAGACUCCUACGGGAGGCAGCAGUGGGGAAUUUUGGACAAUGGGCGCAAGCCUGAUCCAGCAAUGCCGCGUGCAGGAUGACGGCCCUACGGGUUGUAAACUGCUUUUAUAUAGGAAUAAACCCCUGAACGUGUUCGGGGCUGAAGGUACUAUAUGAAUAAGGAUCGGCUAACUCCGUGCCAGCAGCCG
rnacentral:rRNA from 1 species